UACGUAGGGGGCAAGCGUUGUCCGGAAUCAUUGGGCGUAAAGAGCGUGUAGGCGGCCCGACAAGUCCGCCGUGAAAGUCCAGGGCUCAACCCUGGAAUGCCGGUGGAAACUGUCGGGCUUGAGUCCGGAAGAGGCGAGUGGAAUUCCUGGUGUAGCGGUGAAAUGCGCAGAUAUCAGGAGGAACACCAAUGGCGAAGGCGGCUCGCUGGGACGGCACUGACGCUGAGGCGCGAGAGCGUGGGGAGCAAACAGG
rnacentral:misc_RNA from 1 species